UCAAAGACAAACAGCCCUUGGAUAAUUUCCCACAAUGCUCCUUGCACAGAGGCCUCUGUGAUCAGUUGUUAUGAGAAAACGCAGGGAUCUGACAGACAGCUGCCUCAACUAUGGCACUCUGGAGGACCCCGCUGCCCUCUCAGGUUGCAGGGUAUAAGCAUGCUCCAAUGUGGGUCCUUGCUGUUGUGAAAAAAGGAGCUCACCCUGCCCACUGCUCUGUCUGGACCAUCUCAAAGCUCCAAUCCAGCCCCUCACUUGCUUUACCCAUCCAAGAUGCCCUGAAGCACAGAGACUGUGGGGCUUCACGUGCACCGAGAGACAGAAAACAGACUUACUCAACAGAUUGAGAAGAUGCCGCUAUUAAACAUUGGUGUCACCCGUUUGUCAGCACAAGUGGAGAGCACAUUCUUCUUAAAAAAAAAAAAAAAAAGAGCCCAGCCUGCAGGUGGAAACGACUGAAACGCAGAAAAGCUCCCAACUGCCAUCCGCAUUCCAGCCCAUGCUCAACGUCAGAGCGGGUUAUCAGGCCGUGCGGCUGAAUGGAAGCAGAGCGAGUCUGGCUUCCUACUUUAAGUCACUGAGAAGUUAUUCAAACACCCAGUUAUUAUGGUGUAAACAAAGGCCGCUUGUCACACACUAUUAUAGCUAUGGUGUUUACAAGAGUGCCACUUUAAUGUAGUGCAUGUUAUGGAUGAUGAUUAAGAAUAAUGUUUGACAACCUGAUUGAAGCAAAGUAAGUAGAUUAUAAAGACACUUUUUUCCGCAUAAGUCAGCCAUCACAGCGUAUUGUCUUGUUAAUACACUUGGGAUUGAUAAAGUACUUUUUAAAAAACCUAACACCAAAGAUAAAUUUAAAAAAAAAGCUCUUGAAUGUCAAACAUCAAUCAGAGGCGGAUUUUGUAGAAUUGAUUGCAUCAUUUAUUUUCAUUUAAGCUUAUCAGAAUUGUUUACUUUGCGGUUUUGGUGAUGUUUAAUCUAGGAUUACAACUCUUUAUGAGCAGCUUUUUUUCAUGUUUGUCUUUGAGAAAUUACUUUUAAAACGAUUGGCGUGCCUGUUGCAGUAUUAGUUAUAAGUUUGUAGCCAACGCAUCUCAACAGUCAAAAUGAUCAGAUGUCUGAGACAUGAAGCAGAUUAAAUCAGUGGAACAAAGCUAAGGAUUUGAUCCUGAUCAAAGGAUUAGGGGAAAGAGAAACUAAGACCUCUUAAGUAUUCAAAAAAUUCUAACUUUAUUUUCAGAAAUGUCACAACUCAAAUCAUAACUGCUACACAAUGUGUUACUUCAAAUGGAAACAUUGAAAACACUGAAACAUGGAUUAUUCUCCGUUAAAAUUUGGUUAAUUAUUCAAAGAAAAUUCAAAGAAAAGUUUUGGACUUAAAAAACUAUUAUGAGGAAAGUCACGCUUGGUUUCUUCAGGGUGUCAAACAUACGGCCCACGGGCCGCAUCCGGCCCCCCAGAUGGUUUAAUCCGGCCCAGUUAUGAAGAGAAACAAGUAUAAGGAUCUUGGGGAAAAAAACACUUGAGAUCAGACGGGUUGAAUGUGGCCCCUGAAUCAUAAUGACUUUGACACCCCUGAUCAAACCAGUGUACCUUCAUUUUCUUGAAACAUCAACUCUUUGUGCCUUAGAAGAAAAACAGAGAAAUUUUCACUUUUAGCUGAGAAUUUGAAGUUAGCUAAAACUAUAAUUCCUUUGAGACUCUUUCUUUAAUUGUAAUGUAGAAAAAUGAAGACAGGCUCUUUUCUUCUUUCAAUGUAUUAUGUGUUUUUUGAUUGCCUUUCCGAGACUGUAAUCUGGUUCUUUUGAAGUGUUUUAAAUGCCUUAUGCAUGGGGGAAACAACAGCAUUUCUACAUCACAAACAACCCAUUGGAAAUAAUACAGAACAGCAACAAUGCUCUCCAGCUGCUGAGAUGAACCUUGUUUUGACAGAUGAGCACAUUCCUCAAGCUGGUCUACAUUCAGACUCUUUUGUUCUGUGAGUCCAUCACAUACAUUUCAGGAGGACUUGAAGUAAAGUGACAGCAGAAACUGUACACUUGACCUGUGGAAAACAGGACAAAGCCACUGUCACGAGUUGCCUGUUUCUUCAGGUAAAAAUGUCUGACAAAUUGGAAUCUCAUUACCAUGUCAUGAAUACAUCUUUGGGAAUCCAUUAGGCAUUUCCUGCUUAAAAACACAAUAAGAAUUCACAUUCAACAAGAAGAGGAGGCGAAGGAGAGUGGAAGGAGAAUAAAGCCCCAGCUUGAACAGUGCUGCAGUGCUGUUUUAGCUCUUUCAGUCCACUUACAAAGAGACAAGAAAAAAAAUGUGAUUGACUGACAGAUGAUAGCAAUAAAAGUAAGAACAAACUGGCCAUUUCUCUGUGGUUGGGCUAUUUGAGAAGGGACUAUUAACUUGUCAGCAUUUCAAACUGAGACAAAACUUUUUCUCCUCAACACAUCCCCACGUCUCUGUUACUUUUAUUAGAAAGUCUUUAAACCUUUUGACCCCUGAGGGCCCCUGUUAUUGGCUGUUAGAAAGGACUCACGGGUCAAUGGCAAGGCCCUAAGUGGCCUAAUAAUCAUUUGUUUACAACUUGAACCUAUUUUGGAAGCUUUGUGUUUAGUGUGGGGUUAAAAAUAGGAGAGGGCGACGACCGUCCGUCCGACUCUCAUCGCUCAAGCUGUCAAGACGUGUGGGCCCUUGGGGACCUGGGCAGGAGACCCCUCAAGCCAUGGAAGUUCAAAGGUUGCAAGGCUUUUAAGCACCGACUUGUUUUUUUUUUUUUUUUUUCUGAGGGAGGUUGACUGCCUUUGUUGGUGUCCUAAAAUAGUAGCUUCUUCUAGGUCCUGUUGUUUGUACGCCUCAAGUAAACUUUCUAAUUCAAAAAUAAAAAGAAGUGUCCUCUGCUGCAUGCUUUCUACACUAAAUGCCACAAGCAAGACAGUUGUUUGCCGUCAGAUUGACAGUAAUGGGAAAUAAAUGCCACCGGAUCAAAUCAUUAAUCUUGUCAAAUAUUGUCAUAUGACAGGAGUAAAUACAGGUGUGGAGACUGCAUCGGCUGAUAAAACAUUACUUACAGCCAUUUUUCCAAUAAGCGAUGGACCUGGUGCUGUCAAUAUUUGGAGGGGAUGCAAGGUAUGCCCUGGUGAAGGCCAUUUUGCGAGGAGCAGAGAGCCUGCUGGGAAAAAUACAGUGGUUCAUGCUGGGUCUCCGGGAAGCUGAAAAGCCACCGGCAAAAAGCUAUGAAUUAUUUUGAGCGCAAAAUACAUUUUCUUUGAAGACUGUCGGGCCAUUAGAGCCCUUUUGCUCCCUUUUAAAUUGUUUUUAUGCUGUGAGUAAUGUUAACCUUUGCUUUUGUAGUCAUGAAAUUCUUUCUGUGCCUUUUUUUCCCUUUGUGCACAAAGCAGAGAUAGCCUGCAGAAGGUGGAAAAAAAAGUACAGGAACCAUUUACUGUGUAGAAAAAAAGGAGACUAGAGGGAAGGCAGAGACAUUUGUACAGACCUCUUUUUCUUUGCACAGAAACAUAAAUUAAAUGCAUGGAGGAAAAAGGCCAGAAAAUUCACUAUUUUUGUUCUAAAGUUCUUAGUAUGCUUUUUAACAAAAUAUAAUGCUAUCUAAUGAAAGUAAAAUAAACAAUAUUCCUUCUUUUUUGCAGUGCAGUUACCAUGAAUUUAAGGACAUUCUAAUUUUAUCGGCAUACAUUACAGAAUUAGUAAAGAGAAGUCAAGUGUCAGACUAUAUACAGCCAUCUAUGGCAAUGGAUCAAUGCAUAUUUGCAUAUUUUUCUCAAUUCAGAAGCUAAUUUUCUGUUGACUUAUCACCUGGUUUUGGGUUGCUCAUAUGUUAUUCUUUUAAAUAAAAUUAUUAGUUUCAAAUGAAUUAAGAUGUUUUUUUUCUGGAAAAUGCUCAUUAGUAUUAAAUCCACAGGAAAUACAAUAUAUUUUUGAUUUAAAUGUGCAAAAAAAAAAAAAA